GGCGAUUUGCCGUGCCCGGAGACCGCAAAAGCAGAGGAUGAGGACAAUCCUCUUGAGGCGAGCUUGGAAUGGAGUCCCCUCCCACGCCGCCGAUUGACCUCACUGGUGAGCCUCGUCCGAUCCCAUUCGCGUCACAGUGGGACACUGAAUUCUAUGUGGAAUUCUAUCUGAUAUUUCCCUCGCUUAAUUUCCAGCUAUAGGCACUGGAGAUCGAGAUGUCCGUCUUCCCCACCAACUCCGGCUCAAACUGCGGCCCCCGCCGUCCUGCCUGCUCGGCUCUAUCACAGUGUUCAGCCACGCCGCCAACGCGUGCACCCCGUCACCGAGCAAGCAAGGAUCACCGCCUGCAUGCCUCGGGCCAUACCAGAGCCUGCGCCUAUGCCGGUGAGUUUAUGGGAUACCGUAGGCGAAGAUGACCGUGCUGUUUUGGCAGUUGCAUUGCCUGCACGGCUUAACCGUGCCAUGCCGCCAUGGCUACCAUUAUGC
rnacentral:lncRNA from 1 species